rnacentral:rRNA from 1 species
CAUUUGCCCAUGACGCCUAGCCACGCCACACCCACAAGGGCCCUCAGCAGUGAUCAACAUUAAUAAUAAACGUCAGUUUGACUUAGUCAGUGAAAAUAGAGCCGGCCAAUCUGGUGCCAGCCGCCGCGGCUACACCAUGAGGCUCAGGUUGAUUUAACACGGCGUAAAGCGUGAUUAAAGAGAACAAACUAAUGGGGUUAAACCUGAGCUGAGCUGUGACACGCCUGCUCGGAAGAAACUUAAAUUUGAAAAAUACCCCAACCCGCCAACUUGAAUUCACUAUAAUUGGGACACAAACUGGGAUUAGAUACCCCACUAUGCCCAAUCGUAAACUUUAACUUACACCAACAUAUCGCCAGGGGACUACGAGCAAAGCUUAAAACCCAAAGGACUUGACGGUACCCCACAUCCCCCUAGAGGAGCCUGUCCUGUAACCGAUACCCCCCGUUAAACCUCACCACUUUUAGUCUUCAGCCUGUAUACUUCCGUCUUCAGCUUACCGCGUGAGCGAAUAGUGGGCUAAAUGUUACUAGUCAAUACGUCAGGUCAAAGUGCAGCAAAUAGAGUGGCAAGAGAUGGGCUACACUUUCUAUUAUAGAAGAUACGAAAGACUUUAUGAAACACAGUCAGAAGGCGGAUUUAGUAGUAAGAUGAAGAUAGAGCAUUCCUCUUAACUUGGCACUGGGGUGUGUACACACCGCCCGUCACCCUCUUCGACUAAAUUCAAUAGUACUUAACAA